rnacentral:rRNA from 1 species
CCUACGGGAGGCAGCAGUGGGGGAUAUUGCACAAUGGAGGAAACUCUGAUGCAGCGACGCCGCGUGAGUGAAGACGGUCUUCGGAUUGUAAACCUCUGUCUUUGGGGAAGAAAAUGACGGUACCCAAAGAGGAAGCUCCGGCUAACUACGUGCCAGCAGCCGCGGUCAUACGUAGGGAGCGAGCGUUUUCCGGAAUUACUGGGUGUAACGGGAGCGUAGGCGGGUUAGAAAGUUGAAUGUAAAAUCUACCGGCUUAACUGGUAGCUGCGUUCAAAACUGCUUGUCUUGAGUGAAGUAGAGGCAGGUGGAAGUCCUAGUGUAGCGGUGAAAGGCGUAGAUAUUAGGAGGAACACCAGUGGCGAAGGCGGCCUGCUGGGCGUUAACUGACGCUGAGGCUCGAAAGCGUGGGGAGCAAACAGGAUUAGAUACCCAAGUAGUC